AUUGAACGCUGGCGGCAUGCUUCACACAUGCAAGUCGAACGGUAACAGGCCGCAAGGUGCUGACGAGUGGCGAACGGGUGGGUAAUGCAUCGGAACGUGCCCAGUCGUGGGGGAUAACGCAGCGAAAGCUGUGCUAAUACCGCAUACGAUCUGUGGAUGAAAGCGGGGGACCGAAAGGCCUCGCGCGAUUGGAGCGGCCGAUGUCAGAUUAGGUAGUUGGUGGGGUAAAGGCUCACCAAGCCAACGAUCUGUAGCUGGUCUGAGAGGACGACCAGCCACACUGGGACUGAGACAGGCCCAGACUCCGACGGGAGGCAGCAGUGGGGAAUUUUGGACAAUGGGCGCAAGCCUGAUUCAGCAAUGCCGCGUGCAGGAAGAAGGCCUUCGGGUUGUAAACUGCUUUUGUACGGAGCGAAAAGGCUCUCUCUAAUACAGGGGGCUCAUGACGGUACCGUAAGAAUAAGCACCGGCUAACUACGUGCCAGCCGCCGCCGUAAGAC
rnacentral:rRNA from 1 species